rnacentral:rRNA from 1 species
CCCUUAGAUGUUCUGGGCCGCACGCGCGCUACACUGAUGCAUUCAACGAGUUUCUUCCUGGUCCGAGAGGAAUGGGUAACCUUUUGAAAGUGCAUCGUGAUAGGGAUAGACUAUUGCAAUUAUUGGUCUUCAACGAGGAAUUCCUGGUAGACGUAGUUCAUCAGACUGCAUCGAUUACGUCCCUGCCCUUUGUACACACCGCCCGUCGCUCCUACCGAUUGAAUGCUCAGGUGAGCCAUUCGGACUUUCAUCAUGCUGGUUUCCAGUUUUGAUGAAGGAAAGUCUUGCGAACCUUAUCAUUUAGAGGAAGGAGAAGUCGUAACA